rnacentral:rRNA from 1 species
UACGUAGGGUGCAAGCGUUGUCCGGAAUUAUUGGGCGUAAAGAGCUCGUAGGCGGUCUGUCGCGUCGGCUGUGAAAUCCCGAGGCUCAACCUCGGGUCUGCAGUCGAUACGGGCAAACUGGAGUGUUGCAGGGGAGACUGGAAUUCCUGGUGUAGCGGUGAAAUGCGCAGAUAUCAGGAGGAACACCGAUGGCGAAGGCAGGUCUCUGGGCCACUACUGACGCUGAGAAGCGAAAGCAUGGGGAGCGAACAGG